rnacentral:rRNA from 1 species
AGUGAACGCUGGCGGUAGGCCUAACACAUGCCAGUCGAACGGCAGCACAGUAAGAGCUUGCUCUUACGGGUGGCGAGUGGCGGACGGGUGAGGAAUACAUCGGAAUCUACUUUUUCGUGGGGGAUAACGUAGGGAAACUUACGCUAAUACCGCAUACGACCUACGGGUGAAAGCAGGGGAUCUUCGGUCCUUGCGCGAUUGAAUGAGCCGAUGUCGGAUUAGCUAGUUGGCGGGGUAAAGGCCCACCAAGGCGACGAUCCGUAGCUGGUCUGAGAGGAUGAUCAGCCACACUGGAACUGAGACACGGUCCAGACUCCUACGGGAGGCAGCAGUGGGGAAUAUUGGACAAUGGGCGCAAGCCUGAUCCAGCCAUACCGCGUGGGUGAAGAAGGCCUUCGGGUUGUAAAGCCCUUUUGUUGGGAAAGAAAAGCAGCAGGUUAAUACCCCGCUGUUCUGACGGUACCUAAAGAAUAAGCACCGGCUAACUUCGUG